UCUUAUCGAGAGUGGUGGAGGGACUGGCCCUAUGAAACCCGGCAACCGGUUGUUUAAUACACGGUGCUAAUUCCAGCAGAGCAUAAAAGCUCUGGUAGAUAAGA
rnacentral:ncRNA from 1 species